rnacentral:rRNA from 1 species
GUGUCAGCCGCCGCGGUAAUACGGAGGGCGCAAGCGUUGUUCGGAAUCAUUGGGCGUAAAGCGCGUGCAGGCGGCUUGGUAAGUCGGGUGUGAAAUCCCGGGGCUCAACCCCGGAACUGCACCCGAUACUGCCUCGCUCGAGUCCCGGAGAGGAUGGCGGAAUUUCCGGUGUAGAGGUGAAAUUCGUAGAUAUCGGAAGGAACACCAGCGGCGAAGGCGGCCAUCUGGACGGUGACUGACGCUCAGACGCGAAAGCGUGGGGAGCAAACAGGAUUAGAAACCCCGGUAGUCC